rnacentral:rRNA from 1 species
UACGGAGGGUGCAAGCGUUAUCCGGAUUCACUGGGUUUAAAGGGUGCGUAGGCGGACAGGUAAGUCCGUGGUGAAAUCUCUGAGCUUAACUCAGAAACUGCCAUGGAUACUAUUUGUCUUGAAUACUGUGGAGGUAAGCGGAAUAUGUCAUGUAGCGGUGAAAUGCUUAGAUAUGACAUGGAACACCAAUUGCGAAGGCAGCUUACUACACAAAUAUUGACGCUGAGGCACGAAAGCGUGGGGAUCAAACAGG